rnacentral:rRNA from 1 species
CAGUAGCCGCGGUAAAACGGAGGGUGCAAGCGUUACUCGGAAUCACUGGGCGUAAAGGACGCGUAGGCGGAUUAUCAAGUCUCUUGUGAAAUCUAACGGCUUAACCGUUAAACUGCUUGGGAAACUGAUAAUCUAGAGUAAGGGAGAGGCAGAUGGAAUUCUUGGUGUAGGGGUAAAAUCCGUAGAGAUCAAGAAGAAUACCCAUUGCGAAAGCGAUCUGCUGGAACUUAACUGACGCUAAUGCGUGAAAGCGUGGGGAGCAAACAGGAUUAGAUACCCCCGUAGUCCCUGUCUCUUAUAC